rnacentral:lncRNA from 1 species
CGCAAAAUGGAGAAUUUUUCAAUAUUGAUACACAUUCUUUUAUAUUCAAGCACAAGGUCAAAUAAAACCUGUGAGACUAACAUUUACAUCAUAAAAUAUUUCCAUACAUCAAAUAUAGUUGACCUAUUGCAUAUAGUAUUAGAAAACCAGAUGUUCCGCAGGGCGCAGCUAUAUACGACCGCAGAGGUUGAACCCUGAACAGUUGGGGCAAGUAUGGACACAACAUUUAAGCUGGAUUCAGCUCUAAAUUUGGAUUGUGAUUAAAAAGUUGACACAGCAUAGGUUUCUGACACAGAAUGAAUGUGGUCUAAUGAGACUUAAAAUAUUUUUUUUGCCUGUGAGCAAUUCACUAUGCUGUUUGAAUAUUAAUCCU